AAAGAAGAGCUUUCCUUGGAGUUUUUGCUUGAGCUCUCUAGAGCACAGAUGGUUGGAGGAGACAUAAAAAAACCACUGUUUAUUUAUUCAGUGGAGUCUUGAGAGCUUCAGUCAUGCUGUGAGACAGGGAAAGAGUCAAGAUGGAUCCCAGCUGAAGUCACACAAUGUCUUCAUGGUUCACUACUUCUGCCUAAGGGCCACUGUGGAUGGGAUCCAUCUCAUCUAAAUGUAACUAUCCAAAAAAUAGACAUGAAUAUGAAUUAGUCACCAAAGUUUUGUGCUGUAGCCAGUGGAAAAAUGGGCACUUCCAGACAGUAAUUCUCUGAUCAAUUUUAGCUACUUAUUUUAAUGUAUGAUGAAGUGAAUGCUUUUGUCAAAGGUGUAAAGAUCAUCAACCUCAGGAAAAGCAGUAACAGUCAUUCUAGUGGGAGAUAUAGAGAAAGGUCUCCUCAUGUUCAGGAAACUUUACAUUUGCUGUGUUCUUAUUUCCA